rnacentral:rRNA from 1 species
UCUGGUGACUAUAGCAUUGAGGUUACACCUGUUCCCAUCCCGAACACAGUAGUUAAGCUCUUUAGCGCCGAUGAUACUUGGUGGGAAGCUGCCUGGGAAAGUAGGACGUCGCCGGUU